GACGAACGCUGGCGGCGUGCCUAAUACAUGCAAGUUGAGCGAUGAAGAUUGGUGCUUGCCCCAAUUUGAAGAGCAGCGAACGGGUGAGUAACGCGUGGGGAAUCUGCCUUUGAGCGGGGGACAACAUUUGGAAACGAAUGCUAAUACCGCAUAACAACUUUAAACAUAAGUUUUAAGUUUGAAAGAUGCAAUUGCAUCACUCAAAGAUGAUCCCGCGUUGUAUUAGCUAGUUGGUGAGGUAAAGGCUCACCAAGGCGAUGAUACAUAGCCGACCUGGGAGGGUGAUCGGCCACAUUGGGACUGAGACACGGCCCAAACUCCUACGGGAGGCAGCAGUAGGGAAUCUUCGGCAAUGGACGAAAGUCUGACCGAGCAACGCCGCGUGAGUGAAGAAGGGUUUCGGAUCGUAAAACUCUGUUGGUAGAGAAGAACGUUGGUGAGAGUGGAAAGCUCAUCAAGUGACGGUAACUACCCAGAAAGGGACGGCUAACUACGUG
rnacentral:rRNA from 1 species